rnacentral:miRNA from 1 species
GCCAGCGGGACGGCCAUGGCCUGGGCCGCGGCCGGGGCCGCGGCGGGGGCGGGGGUGGGGG